rnacentral:rRNA from 1 species
CCUACGGGAGGCAGCAGUGGGGAAUAUUGCACAAUGGGGGGAACCCUGAUGCAGCAACGCCGCGUGAGUGAAGAAGUACCUCGGUAUGUAAAACUCUAUCAGCAGGGAAGAAAAGGAACCUCGGUUCCACAUGACGGUACCUGACCAAGAAGCACCGGCUAAAUACGUGCCAGCAGCCGCGGUAAUACGUAUGGUGCAAGCGUUAUCCGGAUUUACUGGGUGUAAAGGGAGCGCAGGCGGCGCGGCAAGUCAGAUGUGAAAGCCCGGGGCUCAACCCCGGGACUGCAUUUGAAACUGCCGGGCUAGAGUAUCGGAGAGGCAAGUGGAAUUCCUAGUGUAGCGGUGAAAUGCGUAGAUAUUAGGAGGAACACCAGUGGCGAAGGCGGCUUGCUGGACGAUC